rnacentral:lncRNA from 1 species
GUAGAUAACGACGUCGUCUUUAAUCUUUACCGUCCUCGACGACACGUAACAUCAAAAAACUAGAACUAACUAAGCAAAAAAAUUGAAACUCCUUAGCUGCCUCUCCAAAUAGAAAAUGAAUACCUCACAAUCACUUUGUACUGAGCUUCAUUUAUUAAUCCUUAACGGAAUAUUGAUUUCAUCAUUUGCCCCUUACCUCCAUGGCUAAUUAUUAUAGCAGCAAAAAAUAAUCAGAUUCAGAUAAUCAAUGAAAAAAGGUGGAAAUUGAAAAGGAAAAGGCGAAUGGAAUAUUACCUGAUAAGGAACGAAGUGGAGAGCAAAACUUACCGAGUAAAGCAAAAGAGAGUGCGGGCAAGUGAAAAGGAAAUGCUGUAGGGAAUUUCUUUUACCUAAUGAAGAAAGAGCAAUCAAAAUUUCAAAGGGUCAAAAGAUAUUAAU